AUGGCCGGCCUCAACUCCCUGGAGGCGGUGAAACGCAAGAUCCAAGCCCUGCAGCGGCAGGCGGACGAGGCGGAAGACCGCGCGCAGGGCCUGCAGCGGGAGCUGGACCGCGAGCGCGAGCGAGGAAUGAAGGUGAUAGAAAACCGGGCCAUGAAGGAUGAGGAGAAGAUGGAAAUUCAGGAGAUGCAGCUCAAAGAGGCCAAGCACAUUGCGGAAGAGGCUGACCGCAAAUACGAGGAGGUAGCUCGUAAGCUGUUCAUCCUGGAGGGUGAGCUGGAGAGGGCAGAGGAGCGUGCGGAGGUGUCUGAACUAAAAUGUGGAAAAUGUGGUGACCUGGAGGAAGAGAACUCAAGAAUGUUACUAACAACCUGAAAUCUCUGGAGGCUGCAUCUGAAAAGUAUUCUGAAAAGGAGGACAAAUAUGAAGAAGAAUUAAACUUCUGUCUGACAAACUGAAAGAGGCUGAGAGCCGUGCUGAAUUUGCAGAGAGAACGGUUGCAAAACUGGAAAAGACAAUUGAUGACCUGGAAGAGAAACUUGCCCAGGCCAAAGGAGAGAACGUGGGCUUACAUCAGACACUGGAUCAGACACUAAACGAACUUAACUCUAUAUAAGCAAAACCGAAGAGUCUUGUUCCAACAGAAACUGCGGAGCUCCGUGGGUCUUUCUUUUCUCUUGUAUGAAGUUCCUUUUGUUAUUGCCAUCUUCGCUUUGCUGGAAAUGUCAAGCAAAUUAUGAAUACAUGACCAAAUAUUUUGUAUCGGAGAAGCUUUGAGCACCAGUUAAAUCUCAUUCCUUCCCUUUUUUUUUCAAAUGGCACCAGCUUUUUCAGCUCUCUUAUUUCUUCCUUGAGUUGCAUUUAUUCCUAAGGUAGGCAGGGUAUUUCCUAGUAAGCAUACUUUCUUAAGACAGAGGCCAUUUGGUUCCUGGGAGAAUAGGCAGCCCCACACUUUGAAGAACACAGACCCUAAUAUCUAGUCGUGGAUAUAAUUAAAACGCUGAAGACCAUAACCUUUUGGGUCAACGGUUGGUCGAACUAUAGGCACCAUCACAUGGGUAGGGAUUUUCCAUCCAGAGCCAAUAAAAGGGCUGGUGGGGGCCGGGGGUGGCUAUUGUGGAAAGUCAUAACCCACGGAUAGAUUAACCUAAGAAUUCUGGCCUUUCUCCACACUCCACCAUGCAGAACAAACAUCCUCUCAAGCAGUCAACGUAGAAUGCUUGGGUAAUAGUCGUAAUUACCCACAUGUAGUAAUUAAUAGAUGGUAAUUAAUAGAUCCUUGAUGUGAUGUUCUUUUGCAUAUUUCCUUCAUUCUAAAGUUGUUCUCUGGCCGGGCACGGUGGCUUUCGCCUGUAAUCCCAACACUUCAGGAGGCCAGAUCACUUGAGGUCAGGAGUUCGAGACCAGCCCAGCCAACAUGGCGAAGCCCUGUCUCUACUAAAAAUAAAAAAAAUUAUGGUGACGCCUGCCUGUAGUCUCAUCUACUCGGGAGGGUGAGGCAGGAGGAUCACUUGAACCCAGGAAGUGGAGGUUGCAGUGAGCCGAGAUCGCACCACUGCACUCCAGCCUGGUUGACAGAGUGAGACCCCAUCUCAAGAAAAAAACAAAAUAAAAAUAAAGUUGUUCUCUGAA